GGGGGUGUAGCUCAGUCUGGUUAGAGCGCUGGCCUGUCACGCCAGAGGUCGCGAGUUCGAGUCUCGUCACUCCCGCCA
rnacentral:tRNA from 1 species